rnacentral:rRNA from 1 species
UACGUAGGGGGCGAGCGUUGUCCGGAUUUAUUGGGCGUAAAGAGCUCGUAGGCGGUUCGAUAAGUCGGGCGUGAAAACUCUGGGCUUAACCCAGAGACGCCACCCGAUACUGUUGUGACUGGAGUCUGGUAGGGGAGUGUGGAAUUCCCGGUGUAGCGGUGAAAUGCGUAGAGAUCAGGAAGAACAUCGGUGGCGAAGGCGCUCUGCUGGACCAUAACUGACACUCAGGGACGAAAGCUAGGGGAGCGAAUGGG